GAUGAACGCUAGCUACAGGCUUAACACAUGCAAGUCGAGGGGCAGCAUGGGCUUAGCUUGCUAAGCCCGAUGGCGACCGGCGCACGGGUGAGUAACACGUAUCCAACCUGCCGAUCACUCCGGUACAGCCUUUCGAAAGAAAGAUUAAUCCCGGAUGGCAUGGCGAUUCCGCAUGGUUUCUCCAUUAAAGGUUUUUUCCGGUUGAUCGAUGGGGAUGCGUUCCAUUAGGCAGUUGGCGGGGUAACGGCCCACCAAACCUACGAUGGAUAGGGGAACUGAGAGGUUUAUCCCCCACAUUGGUACUGAGACACGGACCAA
rnacentral:rRNA from 1 species